rnacentral:rRNA from 4 species
ACGGGUGAGUAAUAUAUCGGAACGUGCCCAGUCGUGGGGGAUAACUGUUCGAAAGAACAGCUAAUACCGCAUACGACCUGAGGGUGAAAGCGGGGGAUCGCAAGACCUCGCGCGAUUGGAGCGGCCGAUAUCAGAUUAGGUAGUUGGUGGGGUAAAAGCCCACCAAGCCAACGAUCUGUAGCUGGUCUGAGAGGACGACCAGCCACACUGGGACUGAGACACGGCCCAGACUCCUACGGGAGGCAGCAGUGGGGAAUUUUGGACAAUGGGCGCAAGCCUGAUCCAGCCAUGCCGCGUGCGGGAAGAAGGCCUUCGGGUUGUAAACCGCUUUUGUCAGGGAAGAAAAGGUUCUGGUUAAUACCUGGGACUCAUGACGGUACCUGAAGAAUAAGCACCGGCUAACUACGUGCCAGCAGCCGCGGUAAUACGUAGGGUGCAAGCGUUAAUCGGAAUUACUGGGCGUAAAGCGUGCGCAGGCGGUUAUGCAAGACAGAGGUGAAAUCCCCGGGCUCAACCUGGGAACUGCCUUUGUGACUGCAUAGCUAGAGUACGGUAGAGGGGGAUGGAAUUCCGCGUGUAGCAGUGAAAUGCGU